AUACAUUAUGGAGAGAUAUUUGAGAAUUGAUGUUUUGUUAUAUAAAAAGAUACGUUCGAGUACAGCAACUGAAAACAGAAGCCAUGCUAUUGCAGACUGAAAAGGUUUUAUUUAGUAGUAGAAGAAAUGAACUGUUGGAAGAGGUUGUGGAAGGGUUGUUGUGGCUUCUGUACUGACAAAACUGUCCAUUUGUGUGUGGAUGCCUGUCUGAAAGAUGGGGCUUUUCUGAUUUUUCUAGAGAAAGUCUAUGUCCCAUACUUUGUUUAAUGGACCAGCCCUUUCUGGUCUUAAUGUAUGAAUGCUAGUGCCUCAGGAAAAGUGUCUGCUCAGUACAUCAGCUUCAGUUCUGCUUUUGAUUCUGUUAAUAUUGCUUAUGGCUCCUAAGCUCAGUGCUGAUGGAGAAAAUUGGCCUGCUGGUCCAAAAUUUAUGAUGCUGGUUAAGUUUUGAAGUGAUGUUUGACAUUCCAAAAGUGAAAUUUGGAAAGGUGUAUUUUUUUUUUUUCUAUAACAGAUUCUAUAUUUGUUGGCUUUAAACGUAACUGGAGGCAAAUUAUAGAAACCCAUGCUUCCUUGUCAUGUUUUUGUUGAGGGAAAAAGACCUCAGUCUUAGGGGUUGGGUCAGGAUAUCAUCUCUUUUUUAAAAAAUCUCUGGUAAGAUUGCUGGUAAAAAUGGUGUAAAAAGAAAAGGAACUUGAAUGGUGAAAGAAAUGUUCUAAUGAUGCCAGUGAUUCAAAAAAGGCUGUCUCUGGAAAAAAUCUUGUUCCAACUCACACACGCCUCUUCCUAGUUUUACUGGCGUUUAUUCAAUAGCUAGUUUAUACUAUGCUGCACAUAAGCAUUGCUUGCAGAAGGUAACUGAAGGUCCUCUACCUUGGGAGCUGAACUGCAACGUAGAUGGAAGAGGCCAGGUACAGUCUUAUUGACCUUUAGGAAAGGAAACAUCUUGUUCAAGUCCAACCACUUUGUUUGUAUGUUCUGCAACUGCACAGCUUGGACAAUACCACCAGUUUAAGUUACCAGGGGUGCCAUGUACAGUGCAACCUUCAUGUUUUCCUGCGUGUGUCCUUCAGCCCACCUAACAGCAACAUCUGAGUUUAAAAAGAAAGGGUUGAAACAUCACUGCCCUCCUUCAGAGAAAUGCUCACCAGUGUCCCUGUGUCCCAGCAGAUCUUGCUAUCAGCUUUCUGGAUACUGGCAGAAAAAGCCCAGAUCUCUUUAGCACCGGAGAUAGGAAGUGGUGUUACCCACAAGACAGUUUUGCCAGUGUAAUAACAGGUUUUUAUACAAGGAGAGAAACUGCUGGCGUUGAAGACAUGGCACCCUAGUGAAAGCACAAAUAAAAUUCAGUUGCUCCCCUUUGGAGAGAGAGUGAACCAUUGAAAUAUUUUAGUUUGUACUAUGGGAUUUGAUGCCUUGUGAUGUCUGAAUCUUCACACUGAAAAAGAAAUAAAAAUAUAUAUUUUUAUUGGCCAUUCACACCAUCUGAGAAGCAGUAAACCUGGACAUUAGACAGAUCUAUCGGACUGGCUGAAGCCAAGAGAAAGUUGCUGGUCACCACUGAAGAGCCUGUUAAGGUGCAGAUGUUUAUGGAAGGAUUAGCAGCAUUUCAGCAAUAACUACUGAGGAAGCAAAUGCUUAACAUAUCCAAGAUGGAAAUUUACUACAUUUCUACAGCACUAUUCAAUGGCAUCUUGCAUUUCAUGACAUGGCUGUAAAAAGUACAACACGGCCCCGGCACUGCUGCAUGAAAGGGCAGAUGUGAAUUUCUGGCAGAGCACACUGCCUUCAACUGUGUUCCAUGCUGCUCUUCUGUCUGGAUUGACCACCUGGUGGAAGGGGAUUUAAAGUAUAUUGCUCGCUUGUAUAUCCUCCAAGAAUAAGUAGAAAGGAGAGAUUUAUUCAGAGGUGCUCAAGUACUGGCAAGAUGAUAACGAUUUUCUUUAUUCUGUGUUCUGCAGUUCCCUUCAAUGGUCAAAAAGGCACAAAAAGCAGUUCAAGGACUUAAAAGGUUGUCAACAAAUGAGUUUUUGGUACUUGUCUUAAAUGACACUGAUCUUGGUGUCUUAAAGAAGAAAAUCAACCCUGUUACUUCUCUCCAAUAAAAGGAAGAAUGUAAGGAACG
rnacentral:lncRNA from 7 species